rnacentral:lncRNA from 1 species
CUGCAAAUGGAUAGCAAGGUUUACUCGAAGGAGUGUGGAAGGUUCUAAAUGGAGGGAGGGAGUCAUGGGGAGAUAGCCACUGGCUGGAAAUAGAGAUAACAAUAGUUUGAAUCGACCAAUACCUAUAUUCUCUCCAUAAGUAAAACUCUCAUACCCAUAUCUGCUCUAUAUCCAUUUUGGAGCGGAUCGAGUUGGAUAAAAUAGAUGGUGUGCGUUAGAUCGGAUAGGGAU